rnacentral:tRNA from 1 species
GUCUCGGAUAGCUUAACAGGUAGAGCCUUUGGCGUGUAAUCAAAAGAUCCAGGAUCGAUUCCUGGUCUGGGCC